GUGCUCGCUUCGGCAGCAUAUAUACUAAAAUUGGAACGAUACAGAGAUUAGCAUAGCCCCUGAGCAAGGAUGACACGCAAAUUCGUGAAGCGUUUCAUAUUUUU
rnacentral:snRNA from 1 species